rnacentral:rRNA from 1 species
AGCGAACGCUGGCGGCAGGCCUAACACAUGCAAGUCGAACGAACCUUUCGGGGUUAGUGGCGGACGGGUGAGUAACACGUGGGAACGUGCCUUUAGGUUCGGAAUAACUCAGGGAAACUUGUGCUAAUACCGAAUGUGCCCUUCGGGGGAAAGAUUAAUCGCCUUUAGAGCGGCCCGCGUCUGAUUAGCUAGUUGGUUGGGGUAAUGGCUCACCAAGGCGACGAUCAGUAGCUGGUCUGAGAGGAUGAUCCGCCACAUUGGGACUGAGACACGGCCCAAACUCCUACGGGAGGCAGGAGUGGGGAAUCUUGCGCAAUGGGCGAAAGCCUGACGCAGCCAUGCCGCGUGAAUGAUGAAGGUCUUAGGAUUGUAAAAUUCUUUCACCGGGGACGAUAAUGACGGUACCCGGAGAAGAAGCCCCGGCUAACUUCGUG